CCUACGGGAGGCAGCAGUGAGGAAUAUUGGUCAAUGGACGAGAGUCUGAACCAGUCAAGUAGCGUGAAGGAUGACUGCCCUAUGGGUUGUAAACUUCUUUUAUAUGGGAAUAAAAUGUUCCACGUGUGGGAUUUUGUAUGUACCAUAUGAAUAAGGAUCGGCUAACUCCGUGCCAGCAGCCGCGGUAAUACGGAGGAUCCGAGCGUUAUCCGGAUUUAUUGGGUUUAAAGGGAGCGUAGGUGGAUUGUUAAGUCAGUUGUGAAAGUUUGCGGCUCAACCGUAAAAUUGCAGUUGAAACUGGCAGUCUUGAGUACAGUAGAGGUGGGCGGAAUGCGUGGUGUAGCGGUGAAAUGCUUAGAUAUCACGAAGAACUCCGAUUGCGAAGGCAGUUCACUGGACUGCAACUGACACUGAGGCUCGAAAGUGUGGGUAUCAAACAGGAUUAGAUACCCGUGUAGUC
rnacentral:rRNA from 1 species